UACAGAGGUCCCAAGCGUUGUUCGGAUUCACUGGGCGUAAAGGGUGCGUAGGUGGUGAGGUAAGUCGGAUGUGAAAUCUCCGAGCUCAACUCGGAAAUGGCAUUGGAAACUACCUUGCUAGAGGGUUGGAGGGGGGACUGGAAUGCUUGGUGUAGCAGUGAAAUGCGUAGAUAUCAAGCGGAACACCAGUGGCGAAGGCGAGUCCCUGGACAACUCCUGACACUGAGGCACGAAGGCCGGGGGAGCAAACGGG
rnacentral:rRNA from 1 species